GAUGAACGCUGGCGGCGUGCCUAAUACAUGCAAGUCGAGCGAACGGGCGAGAAGCUUGCUUCUCUGAUGUUAGCGGCGGACGGGUGAGUAACACGUGGAUAACCUACCUAUAAGACUGGGAUAACUUCGGGAAGCCGUAGCUAAUACCGGAUAAUAUUUUGAACCGCAUGGUUCAAAAGUGAAAGACGGUCUUGCUGUCACUUAUAGAUGGAUCCGCGCUGCAUUAGCUAGUUGGUAAGGUAACGGCUUACCAAGGCAACGAUGCAUAGCCGACCUGAGAGGGUGAUCGGCCACACUGGAACUGAGACACGGUCCAGACUCCUACGGGAGGCAGCAGUAGGGAAUCUUCCGCAAUGGGCGAAAGCCUGACGGAGCAACGCCGCGUGAGUGAUGAAGGUCUUCGGAUCGUAAAACUCUGUUAUUAGGGAAGAACAUAUGUGUAAGUAACUGUGCACAUCUUGACGGUACCUAAUCAGAAAGCCACGGCUAACUACGUG
rnacentral:rRNA from 1 species